rnacentral:rRNA from 1 species
AGUGAACGCUGGCGGUAGGCCUAACACAUGCAAGUCGAACGGCAGCACAGUAAGAGCUUGCUCUUACGGGUGGCGAGUGGCGGACGGGUGAGGAAUACAUCGGAAUCUACUUUUUCGUGGGGGAUAACGCAGGGAAACUUACGCUAAUACCGCAUACGACCUACGGGUGAAAGCAGGGGAUCUUCGGACCUUGCGCGAUUGAAUGAGCCGAUGUCGGAUUAGCUAGUUGGCGGGGUAAAGGCCCACCAAGGCGACGAUCCGUAGCUGGUCUGAGAGGAUGAUCAGCCACACUGGAACUGAGACACGGUCCAGACUCCUACGGGAGGCAGCAGUGGGGAAUAUUGGACAAUGGGCGCAAGCCUGAUCCAGCCAUACCGCGUGGGUGAAGAAGGCCUUCGGGUUGUAAAGCCCUUUUGUUGGGAAAGAAAAGCAGCAGGUUAAUACCCCGCUGUUCUGACGGUACCCAAAGAAUAAGCACCGGCUAACUUCGUGC